UACGUAGGGUGCAGGCGUUAAUCGGAAUUACUGGGCGUAAAGCGUGCGCAGGCGGUCUUUUAAGUCAGAUGUGAAAUCCCCGGGCUUAACCUGGGAACUGCGUUUGAAACUGGAAGGCUAGAGUGUGGCAGAGGGGGGUGGAAUUCCACGUGUAGCAGUGAAAUGCGUAGAGAUGUGGAGGAACACCGAUGGCGAAGGCAGCCCCCUGGGCUAACACUGACGCCUCAUGCACGAAAGCGUGGGGAGCAACAGGAU
rnacentral:rRNA from 1 species